AACGCACGAGACCUGCGGACCUGCGGAGGGAUCAUUCAUAAUAAGUGUUUUAUGGCACUUUAAUCCCAUAUCCACCUUGUGUGCAACGUCGGCCGUUGUGUCUUCUUCGUCAGAAGAGGACCACGACCACAAAUCAACCUAAUAUUGUCAAUGAUAUCGUCUGAAAUCUGUAUGAAUAAACAAAUUCAAAAUACAACUUUUAACAAUGGAUCUCU
rnacentral:misc_RNA from 1 species